rnacentral:lncRNA from 1 species
UGGAGAUCCACAGGAGUCAACCAAUUUAUCCUGUACCUGGAGGGGGUCAGUAGGAAUAGACCUGGACUUGAAUUUUAAAGUUAAACUUGAAGUUGUCUUUAAGUUGGAAUACAGAUGUGAGGGCGUGAAAGUGGAGGUGGGAACAAGGAGGCCAGUGCAGCCCCUGCUGAAUGUGGAGGAGAGAAAAAAGCAGAAGGAAAGUCAUGGGCUCACUUACCACGCCCUUGAGCUCCUGCCGGGUGGGCAGCAGUGUGCUAAGUGCUGUGAAGACACAAAGGGGACAAGAUAGGCAUCGCCUAGUGCUCUUGUUUAAAGAAAGAUUCUAAUUCAGCAGGGGGGUGUGUGCUGCGAUUCUGCAUUUCUAACAAGCUUCCAGGGAACUCCAGUGCUGCUCAUCUGAAGACCACACUCGGAGUGGGAAGGGUGUAGGCAUUGGCUCAUGAACUUGGCUGCACAUGGGAAUCACAUGGGAAGUUAAAAACAAACCAAAACUCACUAACACUCCAGUCUUACCCUAGGGAUUCUGUGUUAACUGGGCUGGGGUGCAACCUUGGCGCUGGGAUUUUUAAAAGCACUUCCAAGGUGAUUCUAACACGCAGUAGAGUUGGAGCAUCUCUGGCAUGGGGGAGCUUGGUUGUUUUUUUUGUCCACCCAGCACCUGAAUCCUCCGCGUUAGAGCCAGAGCCCACCCCCACUAUUGAAGCUGAAGACAACAGACUCCCUUUCCCCGGCUUCCCUGGCUUCUGGGGCACGGGCACGGACUUGGGGCUUCACCACCAACCUGCCACCCGACUUUGCAGCAGAAGCUACUGAAACAAAGGGGUGGAGGCCGCACAGGAUCGAUCUGAGCAAAGGUUUCUCAUUGGUGGCGGCUCUAUUGUUUCCAGAGGCAGCAGUGACAAUUCUUGGGGCACAGUGUUCAGUGGUAGCGACCGAUUCUGCUGAGCCUGAGUUCCAGCGCUGGUCUUGGCUGCACAGCCUCUGAAACUGGUUCUGUGGUCCUGGAGACUGUGAGCUACCCAAUAUAAUUUUAUACACACACACAGAGCCCUUUGUGGUUAAAUAUAAUACACACUUUAAAACCUACAUAAGACAAAUUGUAGAUAAUCGAUUGUUAUAAGGCAAACAUCUUUGUAAACAACAUCCAAGUCUGAAGAUAGGAUUUCGCUAUCCUCGAAACUCUCCAUGUGCCUCCCACCAUUUAUAGCUCCUCCCUCUCUGCUAAGAAUCUCCCUACCCUG